rnacentral:ncRNA from 1 species
GGCUGCGUGACUGGCGCUUGAGGUGGGUCACCACUGGGGAGCGCAGCACUGGACAAAGCCGUGCGCCUGGGCAU